rnacentral:rRNA from 1 species
GACGAACGCUGGCGGCGUGCUUAACACAUGCAAGUCGAACGGAAAGGCCCUGCUUUUGUGGGGUGCUCGAGUGGCGAACGGGUGAGUAACACGUGAGUAACCUGCCCUUGACUUUGGGAUAACUUCAGGAAACUGGGGCUAAUACCGGAUAGGAGCUCCUGCUGCAUGGUGGGGGUUGGAAAGUUUCGGCGGUUGGGGAUGGACUCGCGGCUUAUCAGCUUGUUGGUGGGGUAGUGGCUUACCAAGGCUUUGACGGGUAGCCGGCCUGAGAGGGUGACCGGCCACAUUGGGACUGAAAUACGGCCCAGACUCCUACGGGAGGGAGCAGUGGGGGAUAUUGCAGAAUGGGCGGAAGCCUGAUGCAGCAACGCCGCGUGCGGGAUGACGGCCUUCGGGUUGUAAACCGCUUUCGCCUGUGACGAAGCGUGAGUGACGGUAAUGGGUAAAGAGGCACCGGCUAACUACGUG